rnacentral:rRNA from 1 species
CCUACGGGUGGCAGCAGUGAGGAAUAUUGGUCAAUGGACGAGAGUCUGAACCAGCCAAGUAGCGUGAAGGAUGACUGCCCUAUGGGUUGUAAACUUCUUUUAUAUGGGAAUAAAAUGUUCCACGUGUGGGCUUUUGUAUGUACCAUAUGAAUAAGGAUCGGCUAACCCCGCGCCAGCAGCCGCGGUAAUACGGAGGAUCCGGGGGUUACCCGGAUUUAUUGGGUUUAAAGGGAGCGUAGGUGGAUUGUUAAGUCAGUUGUGAAAGUUUGCGGCUCAACCGUAGAAUUGCAGUUGAAACUGGCAGUCUUGAGUACGGGAGAGGUGGGCGGAAUUCGUGGUGUAGCGGUGAAAUGCUUAGAUAUCACGAAGAACUCCGAUUGCGAAGGCAGCUCACUGGACUGCAACUGACACUGAGGCUCGAAAGUGUGGGUAUCAAACAGGAUUAGAUACCCUGGUAGUC